rnacentral:rRNA from 1 species
CAGUCGCCGCGGGAAUACGUAGGGUGCAAGCGUUAAUCGGAAUUACUGGGCGUAAAGCGUGCGCAGGCGGUUUGUUAAGACAGAUGUGAAAUCCCCGGGCUCAACCUGGGAACUGCACUUGUGACUGGCAAGCUAGAGUGUGGCAGAGGGGGGUGGAAUUCCGCGUGUAGCAGUGAAAUGCGUAGAUAUGCGGAGGAACACCGAUGGCGAAGGCAGCCCCCUGGGCCAACACUGACGCUCAUGCACGAAAGCGUGGGGAGCAAACAGGAUUAGAUACCCCCGUAGUCCCUGUCUCUUAUAC